UACGUAGGGGGCAAGCGUUGUCCGGAUUUAUUGGGCGUAAAGAGCGUGUAGGCGGCCAUACAGGUCAGCUGUGAAAACUCGAGGCUCAACCUCGAGACGUCGGUUGAAACCGUAUGGCUAGAGUCCGGAAGAGGAGAGUGGAAUUCCCGGUGUAGCGGUGAAAUGCGCAGAUAUCGGGAAGAACACCCGUGGCGAAGGCGGCUCUCUGGGACGGUACUGACACUGAGGCACGAAAGCGUGGGGAGCGAACGGG
rnacentral:rRNA from 1 species